rnacentral:rRNA from 1 species
AAUCAACGCUGGCGGCGUGCCUAACACAUGCAAGUCGAACGCGAAAAGGGGCAACCCUGAGUAGAGUGGCGUCCGGGUGAGUAACACGUGGAUAAUCUGCCUGCGGGCGGGGAAUAACUUUCCGAAGGGGAGGCUAAUACCGCAUAACACCGUAAUAGGGCAUCCUGAUACGGUCAAAGAGGGGGAGUCGCAAGACCUCUCGCCUGCAGAGGAGUCCGCGGCCGAUUAGCUAGNGGCGAGGUAACGGCUCACCAAGGCAGCGAUCGGUAGCCGGCCUGAGAGGGCGAACGGCCACACUGGCACUGAAAUACGGGCCAGACUCC